CCCUUAGACGUUCUGGGCCGCACGCGCGCUACACUGACCAGUGCAACAAGCAUCCGUCCUUGGCCGACAGGCUCGGGCAAUCUUUGAACGCUGGUCGUGAUGGGGAUAGACUUUUGCAAUUUUUGGUCUUCAACGAGGAAUUCCUAGUAAACGCAAGUCAUCAACUUGCAUUGAUUACGUCCCUGCCCUUUGUACACACCGCCCGUCGCACCUACCGAUCGAAUGGUCCGGUGAAGCCUCCGGAUUGGCGCGCACCUCGGUGCCGCCGAGAAGUUGGCUAAACCUUACCAUUUAGAGGAAGGUGAAGUCGUAACA
rnacentral:rRNA from 1 species